CCUACGGGCGGCAGCAGUGAGGAAUAUUGGUCAAUGGCCGGAAGGCUGAACCAGCCAAGCCGCGUGAAGGACGAAGGUGCCAAGCAUUGUAAACUUCUUUUGUCAAGGGACAAAAUCAGGCUCGAGAGCCUGACCGAGGGUACUUGAAGAAAAAGCAUCGGCUAACUCCGUGCCAGCAGCCGCGGUAAUACGGAGGAUGCGAGCGUUAUCCGGAUUUAUUGGGUUUAAAGGGUGCGUAGGCGGACUGUUAAGUCAGCGGUAAAAGCCCGGGGCUCAACCCCGGCGAGCCGUUGAAACUGGCAAACUAGAAUGUGGUAGAGGUAAAGGGAAUUCCUGGUGUAGCGGUGAAAUGCGUAGAUAUCAGGAGGAACAUCGGUGGCGAAAGCGCUUUACUGGACCAUUAUUGACGCUGAGGAACGAAAGCCAGGGGAGCAAAUGGGAUUAGAUACCCCGGUAGUC
rnacentral:rRNA from 1 species